ACGCUCGACACCUACGGGAGGUAGCAGUGAGGGAUAUUGGUCAAUGGGGGAAACCCUGAACCAGCAACGCCGCGUGAGGGAUGACGGUCUUCGGAUUGUAAACCUCUGUCCUCUGUGAAGAUAAUGACGGUAGCAGAGGAGGAAGCUCCGGCUAACUACGUGCUAGCAGCCGCGGUAAUCUGAGCGGGCUGGCAAGGC
rnacentral:rRNA from 1 species